rnacentral:rRNA from 1 species
CUGCAGCCCGAGUGGUGAUCGAUUUUAUUGAGCCUAAAGCGUCCGUAGCCGGACUAGUAAACUCUUGGGUAAAUUGGGCAGCUUAACUGUCCAACUUCCGAGAGGACUGCUAGUCUUGGGACCGGGAGAGGCUAGAGGUACUCCUGGGGUAGAGGUGAAAUUCUGUAAUCCUGGGGGGACCACCAGUGGCGAAGGCGUCUAGCUAGAACGGGUCUGACGGUGAGGGACGAAGCCCUGGGGCGCAAACCGGAUUAGAUACCCGAGUAGUCC